CGGAAACAAUAGCAGUAGGCUUAUCCUCCUUGUCUAAAUUUAAAUCUUCAAGCAAAUACAUUGACAAAAUUACUUUAGAACAGAAUAAAAAUCCUAUUCUUUGUCUAGAAAGGCCAAUUGGAUGUCCUCCGUCAUCCUCAUGCUCCAAGAUAACUAGUAGUUGACUAAUACCAUGUAUAUCCAUCAAAGCUUGAGCAGCAGCAAGAACCGUGUUUGACAUUACCGCCCUGGUAUAGUGGUAUACGACACCUCUUGCUAUUAUAGGAACAUAGCUCAGUCACUAAACUCUCUGAACGGCUAACUAUCAUUUUCAGAAAUUCCAAAUAGGAUGCUGAAUAUUUAGAUAUGAUGCGCAAGAAAUGUGUCGGAUGGUCUAUUACUUUUUAAAACAACUGACAGAGUGAAAGGCGAGAUGUUAUUUUGGUAAGUUUAGGAGAAACUCAUAAUUUUUUUAAAUUUAACGGAAACUGAAAUAUAUGUAAGAGAGGCUCACCUGGAAUAUGUACACCCUUCCACUGGAG
rnacentral:lncRNA from 1 species